AUUUACACAUCAAUGCACGUGCGAGGAAACUGGAGGAAACCGGUAUUAACCAUGGUAUAAACACAGUAUAUACAGUAGCGCAACUCUCCCGAUUUCAGCGUGUACAAAAUUGAACUGCACAUGCGCGAGCUAAGUAGGUAACCAAUCACAUAACAGAUUUUCUGUCGCAUUUUCUCUUACUGUUUUUCUAUAGCUCUUUCUGUCACACAUUUAAAUGCCAUGUAGAAUUCGGUUAGAAUUGGCGGGAGCAGACGUUUAGCUGUACAUCAGCUGUAUAGAAUCGAAGUGAAAAGCUGUGUCAAAAAAAAUGUCGAGGAGAAUCUUUGUUCAGAGAAUAGUUGAUCUGUAUAAAUUUUAAUUAUAAGAUUUAUACAGAUUUUCUAUUCUCUUCUAGAAGCAUCUUUGAUCUUAGCUUUGUUGCAGGUGUAGCUUCUUGGAAGAUACAGAUAAUAAAAUAUAAGGAAAGAGGAUGUCAGCUUCUAAAUCAAGUUUAUGGUGUGUCGUAAAGGAAUGUAACAAUACUACGGAGAAAAGACACUUCUUUUUAUUUCCAAAGGAAUAUGAUAGAUGGUUGCAAUGGAUACGUGCAUGUGUAAGGUAUGUUCUGUUUCUGUUUAUGUUCCUGUUUCUUGUGCCAAGAAUUAUAAUAGCUGCAUUAAUAAAUAGAAAACUACAAGAAGAAGAAGAAUUGUAUAAAUACUACUAUUAUAUAUAAAAAGUUUGAAAUUGUGUAUAACUUUCAAAAUAUAAAUUUUUAUUAGAAGUUAAUUCAUUUAUAAUUACAUAAUGUUAAUAUUAGGUUAAUAAGAAUUUUAAUAUAAUGUUUGUUUUAUAAAUAUUAUUAGUCUUAUUUUAAUUGUUUCUAUUAUUCCCCGUAUGAUCUAAACAUUUAUAGAAAGAUUUUACGUAUCACUCUUAAAUACACUUCGUAUCAAAUUUUUAUAAUCAGUUAAAAAUCUAUAAAUUAUGUAUAUGAUUACAAAGUAAAGUUAUUUAAGCCAAA